UUUUAUGGAGAGUUUGAUCCUGGCUCAGGAUGAACGCUGGCGGCGUGCCUAAUACAUGCAAGUCGAGCGAACAGAUGAGAAGCUUGCUUCUCUGAUGUUAGCGGCGGACGGGUGAGUAACACGUGGGUAACCUACCUAUAAGACUGGGAUAACUCC
rnacentral:rRNA from 1 species